UCAGAUGCGAAAGCGUGGGGAGCAAACAGGAUUAGAUACCCUGGUAGUCCACGCCGUAAACGAUGUCUACUUGGAGGUUGUGGAUUGAGCCGUGGCUUUCGGAGCUAACGCGUUAAGUAGACCCCCUGGGGAGUACGGUCGCAAGAUUAAAACU
rnacentral:rRNA from 1 species